rnacentral:rRNA from 1 species
CGUGCUUAACACAUGCAAGUCGAGCGGAAAGGCCCUUCGGGGUACUCGAGCGGCGAACGGGUGAGUAACACGUGAGUAAUCUGCCCUCCACUUUGGGAUAGCCACCGGAAACGGUGAUUAAUACCGGAUAUGACCUGUGCCCGCAUGGGUGUUGGUGGAAAGUUUUUCGGUGGGGGAUGUGCUCGCGGCCUAUCAGCUUGAUGGUGGGGUAAUGGCCUACCAUGGCUUCGACGGGUAGCCGGCCUGAGAGGGUGACCGGCCACACUGGGACUGAGACACGGCCCAGACUCSUACGGGAGGCAGCAGUGGGGAAUAUUGGACAAUGGGCGGAAGCCUGAUCCAGCAACGCCGCGUGAGGGAUGACGGCCUUCGGGUUGUAAACCUCUUUCGGUGGGGACGAAGCGAAAGUGAC